AAUCAAAAUGGGUUAAUUAGAUGGCUACACAAUCAUUAGUAUUAUGAUGUUCUUGGAUUUUUAUUUUAUUUUAUUUUAUUUUUAUAAGUAGAUAUGAGAGUGUGUUUUUUUAUGAAAGAAAUUAUCAACUUUACAAAUCACAAGAUGGGUUGGAUUGGUACACAAUUAUGGGCAGUAGAAUGUUUUUUAUUUUUUAUAUUUUUUUGAAGUAGUUGUGAAUGUGUAUCUCGGAUCCGGGCGGUGGAGGCGGGCCGAGAUCCUGCGAGGGAGAUCCGAUAACGAUCGUGAGUUGUAGACUGGGUCCGCCGAUGAGAACAUGAAUCGGAUCCGAGGAGAGAACCAGAGCUCCGACGACUCCUCGUCGGGAGGGCUACCGUCUUCUUCAUCGCCGGAUAUAAUAUUUAUUUAUUAUUAUUUAUACCUUUUUUGGAAUUGGCUUAAAAAAAGUAGUACAUACCAUUCAGAAUUUCAGAGUAAGAGUUGGUGAAAUGUAUAAUUUCAGCUUAAAACUUAUUAUUUUUGCACAGAAACUGUCUCCCCAAAGCUCAAAGCUGGUUUCCUUUGCAAGUGGGAGAAGCUGGUUUCCUUUGCAAGAAGAUCUGCAUUGUUUAAUUGUUGCUGUUGCUGUUGCUGUUGCUGUUAUCAUCAUCCAAGUCUUGAGUCUUACUUACUAGAAAAUGAUGCAAGGAAAGUAACUCAGAUAAGGGAAUGGACAACCAAUAAGUACGUUCUCAUCCUCAAAGCUGGUUUCCUUUGGUGCUCUCUCUCUCUCUCUCGGCAAGUUGACUGUUAGAGAUGGAGGAUUGGUUGGAAUGUCUUGAGGAGCGUAUGUCAGAGGUGGAGAAUCGAUUGGAAUGUUUUGCGGACAGAGUGGAACGGCUGGAAGGUGCCGUUAAAACACUCAUGGAUGAGGUGAGAUGCAGUAAUUGGGUCAAUCGAUGCAGGAAUUGGGUCCAUCAAGGCAGCGAGUCCGGCCCCGUUUAUGAGCUGGACGGCUCCACGUCAUCAAGGACAUCGAACGCACCAGGGUCAGGAGAGAGACUACCAAAAACAGAGGAGAACUAUGAGAGCCGACAAGUGGCGCAAGCGUUAUAACCGCGAGAGGACUCGUGGUGAGAAGGAGACUCGGGUGGAGGCCACCCAGUUCAUGGCAAGGCCCAACUCCUCCCACAUGUUGGCCAAGGAAAAGACGGUGGAUGCACUUGUCCCUGAUGGGAAGAAGAGUGAGCCAUCAAUUCAAGCCGCCACUCUCUAGCUGGGUUAGCCGUGGCCGAGCCACGGGAAGAAACAGGGUUUUUUUGAGAGUUUGUUUUGUUUCAAAAAGAAUGCAGGUGCAUUCUCUUUUGCUUUUGGUAAUAUAUUAUGUAUUUUGAACUAUGGGCAGACACCCCUUUCUUAUAUAUUAUUUUCUUUCUUAUA